rnacentral:tRNA from 1 species
UGCCGAAGUGGCGGAAUUGGCAGACGCGCUAGAUUCAGGUUCUAGUGGUGGCAACACCGUAAGGGUUCAAGUCCCUUCUUCGGCAU